rnacentral:misc_RNA from 1 species
CACUCAGUAGUUUACUACUGCUAAAGAGGCUGUUAGUCUGUAUAGCUUUACCGCUGAUGAGCAGCUGGCCUCUUUUCUCCACCCUUGUCUUUUGCGCACCCAUGUUUCCUCGGCAGGCUUGCCUGCCGGCUGGACAAUACAAUAACCUUUUUAAUUUCAAUCAGCGUCUAGAAAAAACUUAUAAUUA